rnacentral:rRNA from 1 species
CAGUCGCCGCGGGAAUACGUAGGGUGCAAGCGUUAAUCGGAAUUACUGGGCGUAAAGCGUGCGCAGGCGGUUUUGUAAGACAGAGGUGAAAUCCCCGGGCUCAACCUGGGAACUGCCUUUGUGACUGCAAGGCUGGAGUGCGGCAGAGGGGGAUGGAAUUCCGCGUGUAGCAGUGAAAUGCGUAGACAUGCGGAGGAACACCGAUGGCGAAGGCAAUCCCCUGGGCCUGCACUGACGCUCAUGCACGAAAGCGUGGGGAGCAAACAGGAUUAGAUACCCCCGUAGUCCCUGUCUCUUAUAC